rnacentral:rRNA from 1 species
UACGUAGGUGGCAAGCGUUGUUCGGAAUUAUUGGGCGUAAAGGGCGCGUAGGCGGUUUGUUAAGUCGGCUGUGAAAGCCUGGGGCUCAACCCCAGAGGGUCGGCCGAUACUGGCAGACUAGAGUACGGAAGAGGUAGCUGGAAUUCCCGGUGUAGCGGUGAAAUUCGUAGAUAUUGGGAAGAACACCAGUGGCGAAGGCGGCUAACUGGUCCGAUACUGACGCUGAGGUGCGAAAGCGUGGGGAGCGAUCCGG